UGGGGAAUAUUGGACAAUGGGCGCAAGCCUGAUCCAGCCAUGCCGCGUGAGUGAUGAAGGCCCUAGGGUUGUAAAGCUCUUUCACCGGUGAAGAUAAUGACGGUAACCGGAGAAGAAGCCCCGGCUAACUUCGUGCCAGCAGCCGCGGUAAUACGAAGGGGGCUAGCGUUGUUCGAAUUUACUGGGCGUAAAGCGCACGUAGGCGGACUAUUAAGUCAGGGGUGAAAUCCCGGGGCUCAACCCCGGAACUGCCUUUGAUACUGGUAGUCUUGAGUUCGAGAGAGGUGAGUGGAAUUCCGAGUGUAGAGGUGAAAUUCGUAGAUAUUCGGAGGAACACCAGUGGCGAAGGCGGCUCACUGGCUCGAUACUGACGCUGAGGUGCGAAAGCGUGGGGAGCAAACAGG
rnacentral:rRNA from 1 species